GCCGGGGUGGCUCAGCUGGUUAGAGCGCACGGCUCAUAGGGCUUGGCUGAGCCUGAGAAACCGUGAGGUCGCGGGUUCAAAUCCCGCCCCCGGCA
rnacentral:tRNA from 1 species